rnacentral:rRNA from 1 species
CAUACAAAGAGAAGCGACCUCGCGAGAGCAAGCGGACCUCAUAAAGUGCGUCGUAGUCCGGAUUGGAGUCUGCAACUCGACUCCAUGAAGUCGGAAUCGCUAGUAAUCGUGGAUCAGAAUGCCACGGUGAAUACGUUCCCGGGCCUUGUACACACCGCCCGUCACACCAUGGGAGUGGGUUGCAAAAGAAGUAGGUAGCUUAACCUUCGGGAGGGCGCUUACCACUUUGUGAUUCAUGACUGGGGUGAAGUCGUAACAAGGUAACCGUAGGGGAACCUGCGGUUGGAUCACCUCCUUA